rnacentral:rRNA from 1 species
UACAGAGGGGGCAAGCGUUGUUCGGAAUUACUGGGCGUAAAGGGCGCGUAGGCGGCCGCCUAAGUCAGACGUGAGAUCCCUCGGCUCAACCGGGGAACUGCGUCUGAUACUGGGUGGCUUGAAUCCGGGAGAGGGAUGCGGAAUUCCAGGUGUAGCGGUGAAAUGCGUAGAUAUCUGGAGGAACACCGGUGGCGAAGGCGGCAUCCUGGACCGGUAUUGACGCUGAGGCGCGAAAGCCAGGGGAGCAAACGGG